UCAAGAUGCUCAGAAAUGUCUUUCACAGA
rnacentral:piRNA from 1 species